GCCGGGUGUGGUGGCAGGCACCUGUAGUCCCAGCUACUCGGGAGGCUGAGACAGGAGAAUUGCUUGAGCCCAGGAGGCGGAGGUUGCAGUGAGCCGAGAUUGUGCCACUGCACUCCAGCCUGGGCGACAGAGCGAGACCCUGUCUCAA
ensembl:misc_RNA Metazoa_SRP Metazoan signal recognition particle RNA